UGUGAGUCGAGGGGCAGCGGAUCCCUCCGGGGAUGCCGGCGACCGGCGAACGGGUGAGUAACACGUAUGGAACCUACCCUUAACUGGGGAAUAGCCUUGAGAAAUCGAGGGUAAUACCCCAUAUCAUCUGAAAGAGGCAUCUCUUUCAGAUGAAAGCUCCGGCGGUUAAGGAUGGCCAUGCGGUCCAUUAGCUUGUUGGUGAGAUAACCGCUCACCAAGGCUACGAUGGAUAGCUGAUCUGAGAGGAUGAUCAGCCACAUUGGCACUGAGACACGGGCCAAACUCCUACGGGAGGCAGCAGUGGGGAAUCUUGCACAAUGGGGUCACCCCUGAUGCAGCCAUGCCGCGUGGAGGAAGACACCCCUAUGGGGCGUAAACUCCUUUUCUGAAUGAAGAAACCCCUGUAGGUUCAGGGCGCGACGGUAGUUCAGGAAUAAGCACCGGCUAACUCCGUGCCAGCAGCCGCGGUAAUACGGAGGGUGCAAGCGUUGUCCGGAAUCACUGGGUGUAAAGGGUGUGCAGGCGGGGCAACAAGUCGGAUGUGAAACCCCAUGGCUCAACCAUGGAGGUGCAUUCGAAACUGUUGCUCUUGAGUCCCGGAGAGGCUGUCGGAAUUCGUGGUGUAGCGGUGAAAUGCGUAGAUAUCACGAGGAACACCAGAGGCGAAAGCGGGCAGCUGGACGGGUACUGACGCUCAGGCACGAAAGCGUGGGGAGCAAACAGGAUUAGAUACCCUGGUAGUCCACGCCGUAAACGAUGAACGCUCGCCGUUGCCCCGGUUAAGGGGCAGUGGCUAAGCUAACGCGUUAAGCGUUCCACCUGGGGAGUAUGGUCGCAAGGC
rnacentral:rRNA from 1 species